rnacentral:tRNA from 1 species
GAGGGUAUAGCUCAGAGUAGAGUGUGUGCUUAGCAUGCACAAGGUCCUGGGUUCAAUCCCCAGUACUUACA